rnacentral:rRNA from 1 species
GGUAGCGUGCAUUUGUUCGCCCAUUCCAAAACCAACACUGACUGAUCUAAACACACSGAGAGGUGAACAACCUCUGGCAACGCUGGCUGGGGUCUGCCAGGGGCGUGAAAGCGUCUCUGGUAUGGUUCCUUUCGGCCUGUGUGCGCACGGGUUAGUCAUGUUUACGGUGAUUCUGAAUAACUGAUGCUGAUCGUACAGGGCCACUGUGCCCACGAUAUUUCAAUCAAAUUCCUGCCCUAUCAUAUUUGUUGGUAGGGUAGCGGCCUACCAAGGUGACGACGGGUAACGGGGAAUCAGGGUUCGAUUCCGGAGAGGGAGCCUGAGAAACAGCUACCACGUCCAAGGAUGGCAGCAGGCGCGCAAACUAUCCAAUCCAGAUUCUGGGAGAUGGUGACGAGACAUAUUGGGACUCACCAGCAUCGCUGGUCGAGUUACCAGAUAGACUACAACCUAAAACAGUGCUAAAAUAAUCAACAGGAGGGCAAGUCUGGUGCCAGCAGCCGCGGUAAUACCAGCUCCUGUGGCCUAUAUGGUCGUUGUUGCGGUUAAAAAGCUCGUAGUCGAAAUACGGUGCGCUCGAAAGCUGCAUCAGUGGUAAGCCUGCCCAGGCUGUGUGGCAUACAUGUCCAUUUGUGCAACACACAGUACACUGUCCACUGUGUCGCGUGUGUGGUGAUGGUUGCGACCGUGCGUGUCAAAGCCACACGCAAUCCUCUCGCCACACACUCUCACGCUAUGUGUGUGACGGCGUGCGACACAGAUCAUGGCUCUGUGCGAGUGUUGUAGUAAUAUAUGGCCAGUCACACUGGCCUGUGUGAUGCAGUUACGCACUCUGGUGCUGUGUCACUGUCUGUCCUCUCUCGUGUGCUCUUCACUUCGGUGGAGAGUGUGUGAGGGAGCAGGUGGUGGCCUGCCAGGGUGUUUUACCAUUGAGACAGCAUUAGAGUGCGCUUUCUCGUCCAGCUUCAGUGCGUGUUUGGCUGUGUGUGAGCGUUCUGUGCGCACUGUGGCCUAGCGUCACGGUGUCGUCGAUCGUAUCUAAAUCACCGCACCUCACUGUUUAUAUCCUUCAGUGGAUACACUGAACGCUGAGCGAAUUGUGCCUUGAGUAAAAUAGAGUGCUCAAAGCAGGCUAGGCAUGUAACAGUGUCAUUGCCCGUAUACUCCAGCAUGGAACGAAUGUCCAAUUGCUUGAACCACCCUGCGGCCUGGUUUGUUGGUUGAAAGUGUAAGUGUGUGUGGUAAGACACGCGUGCUUGCACUUCGGUACAUAUGUGUGGUGUGUGAUUAUGUGUCCGACGCUGUGUGUGUGAACUCCAGGCCGUAUCCGCAAAUGUGUGUACCCGUGAUAUUUGUAAAAAUGUAUGUAGGCAGGACCAGGGUGUGUAUCUUUGUAUAGCCUCAUGUUCUCACUCUCUCAUGUGUGUGCGAGUGUACAUGAGGUGUCGUGUAGUAUGAAAUAUAAUGUGUGCGUGCGAGUGACUGCCCUGCCUUUACUCGCGUGUCUACGCACACCGUUAUGUGCAGUGUGUGUCUCGCGAGAGUCGUUUUGUGACGGCUGGUACGAGGUGGUGCUCGCGUUAUGCGUGCGCUUGCUCUCGACUAACCCUGUGUAUUAUAUAAGUGUGGAUGUGCAUGUGCCUGCAGCGUUACAUGACUUCGCCCUCCAGCAUGAUAUAUAUAAUAAAAGCAGACACACGCGUCUCGCGACAGUCCUCUACUAUGUGUGAGGUAGUGUGUCUGUGUGUCAUUGCUGUGACGAGGUGCAUAGCUGACAGGGUGUGUGUGCAUUCACACCUGCCCCGGGAACAAUACCACUUGUGCGUAUGGGUAUCGGUUAACAGAGACAUUUGGGGGCAUUGGUAUUUGGCCGCGAGAGGUGAAAUUCUGAGACCGGUCAAAGACUGACGAUUGCGAAAGCAUCUGCCAAAGGUGUCUUCAUUGACCAAGAACGACAGUUAGGGGAUCGAAGAUGAUCAGAUACCGUCGUAGUCCUAACUGUAAACUAUGCCAACCAGGGCUCAGGCCGGAUCGUGUAUAUUGAAAUAGAAUUUCAUAUAACUUUGAUCCAGGUUGGGCCCCCCGGGAAACCUAAAGUGUGUGGGUUCCGGGGGGAGUAUGGUUGCAAGGCUGAAACUUAAAGGAAUUGACGGAAGGGCACCACCAGGAGUGGAGCCUGCGGCCUAAUUUGACUCAACACGGGGAAUCUCACCAGGUCCGGACAUCGGAAGGAUUGACAGACUGAUAGAUCUUUCAUGAUUCGGUGAAUGGUGGUGCAUGGCCGUUCUUGGUUGGUGGAGUGAUUUGUCUGGUUUAUUCCGUGAACGAGCGCAACCACAGCCUCUAUUUUGGCCGUACGAAAGGCUACUGCCCUGUGUGUGGUGUGUUUACUCACACUGUGCGCAGGGUGCGUAUGUGAAUUUGCCACUAAUCGUGCUGGCACGUUAAGUCUCCAUCAUGUGUGUGGUGCAUGUGUGCGCGUCUCUGUGAGACGUGUGUGUGUUGUUGAUGCGCAUACCAAACGCUAUCGUGCUGCGCCAGCAUGCAUGCUGGCAGUGGACUAGAUGACGAUCGUGAUGACUCGCCAGACUGUCCGCUGUACUGUGUUGGUGAUUUGUGCGGUAGCGGUGUGUUGAUGAUGUGCACACGCUUCUUGCAGUAGGGCGUGUAUGUCUGUGUAUCAUGUGUGUGGUGGAGAUGUGUCAGAUAUAUGUCGAUUGGUGGGUGUUCGUGCGCCUUCAUAGAGGGACUACCGGUGGCAAAUCGGUGGAAGUGUGGCAAUAGCAGGUCAGUGAUGCCCUUCGAUGUUCUGGGCUGCACGCGUGCUACAAUGGUUACGACAAUGAGUGUGUCUGCGUCGAAAGAUGUGGGUAAUCUUCUCAAUCGUAGCCUUGCUGGGGAUUGAGCCUUGAAAUUAUUGCUCAUGAACCUGGAAUUCCUCGUAAGUACGAGUCACCAGCUCGUGCUGAAUACGUCUCUGCCCUUUGUACACACCGCCCGUCGCUACUACCGAUUGAAUGAUUCGGUGAGGGCAUGGGAUUGAUCGGUUUCGUUCAUUGUAAACUGGUCGAGAGCCUGUCCAAGCUGCAUCAGUCAGAGA